rnacentral:rRNA from 1 species
UACGGAGGGUGCAAGCGUUAUCCGGAUUCACUGGGUUUAAAGGGUGCGUAGGAGGGCAGGUAAGUCAGUGGUGAAAUCACCGGGCUUAACUCGGAAACUGCCAUUGAUACUAUCAGUCUUGAAUACCGUGGAGGUCAGUAGAAUAUGUCAUGUAGCGGUGAAAUGCUUAGAUAUGACAUAGAAUACCAAUUGCGAAGGCAGCUGGCUACACGAAUAUUGACACUCAGGCACGAAAGCGUGGGGAUCAAACAGG